AUGCCGCCGCCAUCGUCGCCAAAGACCCGCAGUUCCUCUGCGCCAGCGUGGACAAAACCCUGUCCCCCGUCGUCGCCGGGCUCACCCGCCUCGGCCUGUCUAGUCCUGAGAUUGGCCGCCUUGUCUCGGUCGUCCACAAACAAUGUCGUUACAGAUCCAUCAUCUCCAAGAUGCAGUACUAUCUGCCCCUCUUCGGCUCCUGCCACAACUUCCUCAGGGCGCUCCAGCGCUCGUCCUACUCCUACCUUCUCUCGUCGGACCUCGAUAAGUUGGUCAAGCCCAAUGUUGCCUUCCUGA
rnacentral:rRNA from 1 species